rnacentral:rRNA from 1 species
UGACGAGUGGCGGACGGGUGAGUAAUGUCUGGGAAACUGCCCGAUGGAGGGGGAUAACUACUGGAAACGGUAGCUAAUACCGCAUAACGUCGCAAGACCAAAGAGGGGGACCUUAGGGCCUCUUGCCAUCGGAUGUGCCCAGAUGGGAUUAGCUAGUAAGUGGGGUAAUGGCUCACCUAAGCGACGAUCCCUAGCUGGUCUGAGAGGAUGACCAGCCACACUGGAACUGAGACACGGUCCAGACUCCUACGGGAGGCAGCAGUGGGGAAUAUUGCACAAUGGGCGCAAGCCUGAUGCAGCCAUGCCGCGUGUAUGAAGAAGGCCUUCGGGUUGUAAAGUACUUUCAGCGGGGAGGAAGGGAGUAAAGUUAAUACCUUUGCUCAUUGACGUUACCCGCAGAAGAAGCACCGGCUAACUCCGUGCCAGCAGCCGCGGUAAUACGGAGGGUGCAAGCGUUAAUCGGAAUUACUGGGCGUAAAGCGCACGCAGGCGGUUUGUUAAGUCAGAUGUGAAAUCCCCGGGCUCAACCUGGGAACUGCAUCUGAUACUGGCAAGCUUGAGUCUCGUAGAGGGGGGUAGAAUUCCAGGUGUAGCGGUGAAAUGCGUAGAGAUC